GUGCUCAAUUUGGCAGCACAUAUACAAAAAUUAAAGCAGUUCAGAGAAAAUUAGCAGGUCCCUACAUAAAGAUGACAGAUAGAUUAUGUAGUUUUCU
rnacentral:snRNA from 1 species